rnacentral:sRNA from 1 species
CCCAGGACUGGCGUCCUGGGCUAUCGCCUAUCGUCGCUUCGCGACU